UACGGAGGGUGCGAGCGUUGUCCGGAAUCAUUGGGCGUAAAGGGCGCGUAGGUGGCGGGACAAGCGUGCGGUGAAAGCCUGGGGCUCAACCCCGGGUCGGCCGUGCGAACUGUUUUGCUUGAGCACUGUAGAGGCAGGCGGAAUUCCGGGUGUAGCGGUGGAAUGCGUAGAGAUCCGGAGGAACACCAGAGGCGAAGGCGGCCUGCUGGGCUGCACCUGACGCUGAGCCGCGAAAGCCAGGGGAGCGAACGGG
rnacentral:rRNA from 1 species